rnacentral:rRNA from 1 species
CAGUCGCCGCGGUAAUACGAAGGGGGCUAGCGUUGUUCGGAAUUACUGGGCGUAAAGCGCACGUAGGCGGAUAUUUAAGUCAGGGGUGAAAUCCCGCAGCUCAACUGCGGAACUGCCUUGAUACUGGGUAUCUUGAGUAUGGAAGAGGUUAGUGGAAUUGCGAGUGUAGAGGUGAAAUUCGUAGAUAUUCGCAGGAACACCAGUGGCGAAGGCGGCUAACUGGUCCAUAACUGACGCUGAGGUGCGAAAGCGUGGGGAGCAAACAGGAUUAGAUACCCGCGUAGUCCCUGUCUCUUAUACA